CAGUAGCCGCGGUAAUACGUAGGGUGCAAGCGUUAAUCGGAAUUACUGGGCGUAAAGCGUGCGCAGGCGGUUAUAUAAGACAGAUGUGAAAUCCCCGGGCUCAACCUGGGAACUGCAUUUGUGACUGUAUAGCUAGAGUACGGCAGAGGGGGAUGGAAUUCCGCGUGUAGCAGUGAAAUGCGUAGAUAUGCGGAGGAACACCGAUGGCGAAGGCAAUCCCCUGGGCCUGUACUGACGCUCAUGCACUAAAGCGUGGGGAGCAAACAGGAUUAGAUACCCCAGUAGUCCCUGUCUCUUAUAU
rnacentral:rRNA from 1 species